ensembl:snRNA U2 U2 spliceosomal RNA
ACUACUUCUCAGCCUUUUGGCUAAGAUCAAGUGUAGUAUCUAUUCUUAUCAGUUUAUUUUACAUUUAUUUAUUUUUUUAUUUUUUGAGAGGGAGUUUCCCUCUUGUCACCCAGGCUGGAGUGCAAUGGCGUGAUCUCGGCUCACUGCAACCUCCGCCUCGUGGGUUCAAGCAA